rnacentral:rRNA from 1 species
GACGAACGCUAGCGGCGUGCCUAACACAUGCAAGUCGAACGGAGUGUUUAUUUAUAAACACUUAGUGGCGAACGGGUGAGCAACGCGUAGACAACCUACCCUCUAGAUGGGGACAACACCGCGAAAGUGGUGCUAAUACCGAAUGUUGUAAUGUUAUUGCAUAAUGAUAUUACUAAAGGUGGCCUCUAUAUAAAAGCUACCGCUAGAAGAUGGGUCUGCGUCUGAUUAGUUAGUUGGUGAGAUAACAGCUCACCAAGGCAAUGAUCAGUAGCCGGUCUGAGAGGAUGAACGGCCACACUGGGACUGAGACACGGCCCAGACUCCUACGGGAGGCAGCAGUGGGGAAUCUUCCGCAAUGGACGAAAGUCUGACGGAGCAACGCCGCGUGAGUGAAGAAGGUUUUCGGAUCGUAAAGCUCUGUCUUCAAGGACGAAUGUAGAUAUUGUGAAUAAUGAUAUUUAAUGACGGUGCUUGAGGAGGAAGCCACGGCUAACUACGUGCCAGCCGCCGCGGUAA